ensembl:lncRNA
CGAGAAGGCGCCUAUGACGUACCGACAGGCAAACAUUGGCCCUGCUGCACCUAUUCUCACUGUUGGUUUAGCAGUCGGAGUGUUGAAAGACAACCAUUUCCGUGCUUGGAUACGUUUCGUCCAGUCAAAGAGAAGCAACUUCACUGCCUCGUCCUCGGUGACGAGACACACGGUGUUGUGUGAAAAACACUUCACAUCGGACAGCUACAACCAAGGAGAGCUGAUGGAAUUGCGCCAGGGAUUUCGACGGGUUACUGUGGGUUAGGCUCACAAAUGGAGCUGUGCCAUCUGUGCAUGCAAGUAUACCAGCAACAUCUGACCCUGCAACAAUGACCUUACUUCUCUUGGCGGCCCUACAUUUCAACAGUAAUGGCAGAGAUGUAGCUCGAACCAGUGAGGGUGAGGCACGCUACGCCGUUAGCUACCCGCGGUUUCGGAAAGGUGGCUGGGUAGUCCGCCGCAUCAAGGAGAAACCAUCUUAUGGAUACGCAACAAAUCGUAUGGUCUCUCUGGUAGAGGAAUACUAGAUCACCACAGGCCGGACAAGGAAGCAGUAGUGUCUUGUGUUCUGCUGCCCCGCCCCCCCUCACCACUUCCCUCCAGAAGGUUGCCAAGGAUGAGGCAGUCAGCCUUACUGUUUUGGUGCAGAAAAGCUGGUUCUUUAAAUUAGUUAAAUUAUUUUUGCUCAAAACCUACUCUGGUCUGCUGGCUUGGAGAGGGCCGUGCUCCUGUCUGAAGUUCAUGUAAGCUAUCUGCAGCACAAAAUGUUUCAGACAGGAGGCUUCAAACCCUGGAUGGAGUGUGAGGCAGGCAAUAUCUUCUGGGGGAUCUAGGUUUUGGACAAGGGACCAAUAGGCGUCGAUCUCCCUACUGCACACACUUCACUGCUGACGGCAUAGCCUCACAUCUACCACACAAGCACCUGUUAAACAAAAUGUGGUAAGAUAAACUCACUCUCCUUCCCUUCUUGUAGCUCUUAUAGUUGGUGUAAGGCCUUGUAAGAAAUGACAUGUCGACUACUUAUUUCCUAAAGCUUAGGUAAGUGAGAUACACCAUCCCUCCAUUUAGGCACAGUAUAGGCUGUCAAUUAGAUGCAAUUUCUCUGCAUGCCUUACCUUGCCUUAUCUCUGCAUGUGACAAUAAAAU